rnacentral:rRNA from 1 species
UGCUACGGUGAAUACGUUCCCGGGCCUUGUACACACCGCCCGUCAACCAAUGGAAGUUGGGGGUACCUAAAGUCGAUAACCGCAAGGAGUCGCCUAGGGUAAAACCGAUAACUGGUGUU